AAAGUCGUAACAAGGUUUCCGUAGGUGAACCUGCGGAAGGAUCAUUAAUGAUUGGCCUCACGGCCUUAUCAAUUAUUAAUCCCGACACCUCUGUGAACCGUUUUCGGCCCUCGGGCUGAUCUUUUUACAAUACAAACAUUGUGUAAUGAACGUCUUGUUAUCUUAACAAAACAAAACUUUCAACAACGGAUCUCUUGGCUCUC
rnacentral:misc_RNA from 1 species